UACGUAGGGGGCAAGCGUUGUCCGGAAUCAUUGGGCGUAAAGCGCGCGUAGGCGGCCCGAUAAGUCUGCUGUAAAAGUCAACGGCUCAACCGUUGAAAGCCGGUGGAUACUGUCGGGCUAGAGUUCGGAAGAGGCAAGUGGAAUUCCUGGUGUAGCGGUGGAAUGCGCAGAUAUCAGGAGGAACACCUAUAGCGAAGGCAGCUUGCUGGGACGAAACUGACGCUAAGGCGCGAAAGCGUGGGGAGCAAACAGG
rnacentral:rRNA from 1 species